GAAAGUAUACUUCAGUGGUAGAGUGCAUGCUUAGCAUGCACAAGGUCCUGGGUUCAAUCCUCAGUACCUCCA
rnacentral:tRNA from 1 species